UAAUAAAUUUAUGUCAGCAUUUUUAUGGUAUCAAUUAAAGCUUGAGGCUGUCACACGAAUUGUGGCUGAUAUCGUGGUUGAUCGAGCAUUUGUUUAUAUAUCUACUGAUAUAUCUUGCAUAUGUUAAACUCCGUUUUUUAUUUGCUAUGCUGUUUUGAUUGGUUCAGCUCCAAUACUUCAUGCUAUGUAGUUACGACUUGAGGCAAUAUUUACCCGCUACAUAAAAAACACUGAUAUUCUUACAGCAGAAUGCUGAUAGUGAUUUUGCGGUUGUUAAGUGUAGGGAUAUAAUAAUAAAAUAUUCAUGUGCUCUUAGUAUUUAAGGUAUCAGAAUAGUCAUGUUGUGGAUAUAACAUUCUUGGUAUGAAAAAAGGUACAUUUCUUGUGACAUUACACAAAAAAUUGAUGCAUCAGGGAUAUUGUAUACAAACAGGAUUUAAGUUUUGCAUCGGUGCUUUCCAUGUGAAGUAAACAUAAAUAUUUUAGGGGAAAAACAUGAAAAUUAUGCAACAGGAUAUAUGACUUGUGGUUAGAUGGUUGGACAGAAUAUAGUGUAUAGAAAUGGAGCUGCUAGAAAAGGAUUCAUUAAAUAACAACAAUUCUCUCAAGAUUGGUACAUCAGAUUAUUUCUUACCCGAGGUGCUCCAGAUGCUUUAGUGAAGAACUUGAAUACCAGAUUUUACCUCUAAGAAAACAAGUGCACAAGAUAAUGUUUGUCUGAAACAUUCCUGUUGGAUUCAAACAAGGAACAGUAGAUAUAGCAAUAUUUUCUAGAGGGUUUAGCAAGAGAAAGUUACAUGAGAUAUGGCAAUAUUAUCAGAGGAAUCCUGUCAGAUUUAUGCAGCUUCUGACACCUGCCCUGGACAAGAUAAUUACAGUAUUUGAUCUGUCAUCAUAUUCUCAUUAUUAUCACUGUCAUAUCUACUGAUAACAGGGAAAAAACAUAAACAGACAAUGUAGGUGCUAGGACAUGAUAAUAUGCAUUCUUACAAACAGAAAACAUAAACAGACACAUUUCAGGUUGUAAUCAGACAUGUUGUUCACAUAUUUUGUUGAAGUAUCUGAGAAGAAGACACAGUUUAUUGCUUCCUUGCAGCAUUCUGGAGCCAUUUAGUUCAAUGGUAGUCAUAAAAUAUAUAUAAUGCAUAAAACAUGCACCAUUGUGGUAAUACAUAUAAAUAAAGGUAGUUAAAAAAAAACGGAAUUGAUUCGAAAAACUAAGCAGACUUUUUGUCCUUUUCUGCACAGUUGAUAUCAAUGUACUAUUUAUAUAUCUAUAGCUAUUACAUAUCAGUGUGACACAGUGUAUUUACAUUGAAUAGCACAUUUGGUAGCAGAUCUGACAAAUUCACAUCUGUGCUGUAUAAGGCAGUUGUAAAACAUUUACUCCUACUAAAAUAGUCAGUUUUCUCCAUUCUAUUAAUAUAGGCCAGGAAGACCAUAAGGUUUAGAAGUGAUGGAGGGUUUGAGUUGUUUGACAGUUUGCCAUUGUACCAGGUGUUGAUGUGGGUAGUGGAUUACUUAAUUGCUAGGGCUUAAUGUCUAAAUUGAUUCAUAUCAAUUUAUAAACAGUUAAUUACUUUUAUUGUUUCAUUGUUUCUCCUGCAUUUGAAUAUGUAUACUAUUCCAAAGAGGACUGACUGCUUUAAUACACUGAACUUGCCAAAACUUUGGUGAAAAGUUCAUCAGCUAUUAUGAUACCCCACAGAAUUACAGUAAUUUAUUAAUUGGAGUAGAAACUUUUACAUAGCCACUAUAUGUUUAUCUCAUUUUCGGAAUAUAUUUAACAUUUAGACAUGCUUUUGCUGGCAUAUCAUUAUUGCUAAAUGUUCCAACAAUCUUAUAAUUACUGCUUUACUACCAAUAUAAAUUAU
rnacentral:lncRNA from 1 species